rnacentral:misc_RNA from 1 species
GUUGAAGAACGUAGCGAAAUGCGAUAAGUAAUGUGAAUUGCAGAAUUCAGUGAAUCAUCGAAUCUUUGAACGCACAUUGCGCCCGUCAGUAUUCUGGCGGGCAUGCCUGUUCGAGCGUCAUUACGCCCCUCAAGUCCCCUGUGGACUUGGUGUUGGGGAUCGGCGAGGCUGGUUUUCCAGCACAGCCGUCCCUUAAAUUAAUUGGCGGUCUCGCCGUGGCCCUCCUCUGCGCAGUAGUAAAACACUCGCAACAGGAGCCCGGCGCGGUCCACUGCCGUAAAACCCCCCAACUUUUUAUAGUUGACCUCGAAUCAGGUAGGACUACCCGCUGAACUUAAGCAUAUCAAUAAGCGGAGGA